rnacentral:lncRNA from 1 species
CUCAUUAUGAGUGCUACACGAGAGAAACGUUUUACUUAUAAAUCAUUUUCGAAUCUGGACAGUUUCUUAGUAUCGACGGGUGAGAAAAAGAUACAUUUUGAAUGUCGUUACGGAUAUAAUUGUUUCGAUUCAUCUAAUGCUAACUUACGGGGAUCCGUUUAAAUGGCGCAAUGAAAAAUCGUCAUCAUCGUCGUCGUCGGCGCUUCCGUGUUAUUUAAACACAUUAACUAUAAUGUCGAAUGUUCGAUUCUUACCAGGAAAAAUUAAUUCGAUUUAUCAACAAAAUAAUAAGCCAUUGAAACAGGAAAUAAAAAAAAAAGAAAACAGUAUUUUCGAGCUGGAUGGUCGACAAGUAAAGAGCGAAUUUUUAUAGUCGGAAGAGGUUUUUGCUGCCAAUAUCUAAUUUACUCUUGUUUUUUUCCAUUAACGGCUUUAGCCAUAAGCACUGUUAUGGUCUCAAUUCGAACGACAAUCCAACUUCUAAUCAUCGUCUUGUGGCAAUCAUUCAAGCAGAGUGUUGGACAAGUCGUGCGGGACAUUCAAUGCAACGAUCAUAAACUACUCGACUCCAACCUGCCAUCAGACCAGCCAUUUAUGGCAAGUCGUAGUAACGAGAGGUGCGAAUGUGAGUGCGGCUGAAGGGGCCAGUUUUACGAUCUGGAUGACCUCCCACCUCAUCACCGGCACUCUCUCUCUCUCUCACUUUCUCUCUGACCACACAAUCCGCAUCCAACUAAGUGAAAGUUGCAACGGAUAAAAACCAAUUUUGUUCUGUCUCCGAAUGGUAUCCCGAAAUGUGUUCAUCAAUAAUGAAGAAGGGAAAGAAGAAGAAGAAGAAAAAAGAGCAC